GAUGAACGCUGACAGAAUGCUUAACACAUGCAAGUCUUUGGUGAAGCUGUGCUUGCACAGCCUAGCCAAGGCGGACGGGUGAGUAACGCGUAAGGAACUUGCCCUGCAGUCAGGGAUAACAGACGGAAACGACUGAUAAGACCUGGUAAAGUCAGGCGGACUCAUGUCCAGCCUGAUGAAAAGAGAUGCUGCAGGAGAGCCUUGCGUCCUAUUAGCUUGUUGGCGGGGUAACGGCCCACCAAGGCAAUGAUAGGUAGCCGGCCUGAGAGGGUGGACGGCCACAAGGGGACUGAGAUACGGCCCUUACUCCUACGGGAGGCAGCAGUGGGGAAUAUUGGACAAUGGGGGCAACCCUGAUCCAGCAAUUCUGUGUGCACGAUGAAGGUUUUCGGAUUGUAAAGUGCUUUCAGCAGGGAAGAAAAAAAUGACGGUACCUGCAGAAGAAGCGACGGCUAAAUACGUG
rnacentral:rRNA from 1 species